UCUGGUGGCGAUAGCGAAAAGGUCACACCCGUUCCCAUACCGAACACGGAAGUUAAGCUUUUCAGCGCCGAUGGUAGUUGGAGGUUCUCCUCCUGUGAGAGUAGGACGUCGCCAGGC
rnacentral:rRNA from 1 species